GAGGCGGAUUAGCUGACCGCAUGCCUUGCGCAGGCGGCAAUACAUUCGAGUUUCUGCCCUAUCAGCUUUGACGGUAAGGUAUUGGCCUACCGUGGCGAUAACGGGUGACGGGGAAUUAGGGUUCGAUUCCGGAGAGGGUGCCUGAGAAAUGGCAACUACUUCCAAGGAAGGCAGCAGGCGCGCAAAUUACCCAAUACCAAUACGGUGAGGUAGCGACAAUAAAUAACGAUGCCGGUCAAAUUUGACUGGCAAUCGGAAUGAAAGUAUUUUAAACCGAUUAUUAAGGAUCAAUUGGAGGGCAAGUCUGGUGCCAGCAGCCGCGGUAAUUCCAGCUCCAAUAGCGUAUAUUAAAGUUGUUGCAGUUAAAAAGCUCGUAGUCGGAUUUGCCCCGGUCAAUUAAUCGAGUAGGGCGGGAGCCCAUACCGGUAGUUACCGGGUAUUUUGUCAAGAACAUCCGUAUUCUGCCCUUAACUGAGUGGAGUCGGGACUUGACCGAUUACUUUGAAGAAAUUAGAGUGUUCAAAGCGGGUAAUUUUACCCAGAAUAUAUUAGCAUGGGAUAACAUAAUAAGGCUUCGGUUUAAUUUUGUUGGGUCAUUAACCGAGCAAUGAUUAAUAGAGAUAGUUUGGGGUGUUCAUAUUCCCCGGGGAGAGGUGAAAUUCUUGGAUCCGGGGAAGAUGUACUUAUGCGAAAGCAUUCACCAGGGAUGUUUUCAUUGAUCAAGAACGAAAGUUAGGGGAUCGAAGACGAUCAGAUACCGUCGUAGUCUUAACCGUAAACAAUACCGACCAGAGAUUGAGCGACGUUACACGGAUGACUCCCUCAGCACCUUGCGAGAAACCACAGUCUUUGGGUUCCGGGGGGAGUAUGGUCGCAAGGCUGAAACUUAAAGGAAUUGACGGAAGGGCACCACCAGGAGUGGAGCCUGCGGCUUAAUUUGACCCAACACGGGAAAACUUACCAAGUCCAGACAUAGCUAGGAUUGACAGAUUAAGAGCUCUUUCUUGAUUCUAUGGGUGGUGGUGCAUGGCCGUUCUUAGUUGGUGGAGUGAUUUGUCUGGUUAAUUCCGAUAACGAACGGGACAUCAGCGGCUAACUAGAACCGAGAAGCGUCUAAUAGGGUGAAAUUUUUCGGAAUCCUUCACGGGUGACCGUUAAGCGGAUCUCUGAUGCCUUUUUCGGGUCUUCUUAUCCGGACUGUGUGGGCUUACCACACGGAAGCUUGAUGCAAUAACAGGUCUGUGAUGCCCUUAGAUGUCUUGGGCUGCACGCGCGUUACAAUGACCAUGUCAACGGGUUACCUGGGUGGAAACGCUCGGGGACUCCCUGAAACUUGGUCGUGCUGGGGAUUGACCUUUGUAAUUAUCGGUCAUCAACCAGGAAUUCCUAGUAAGUACGGUUCAUCAAACCGUGCUGAUUACGUCCCUGCCCUUUGUACACACCGCCCGUCGCUCCUACCGAUUGAACGAUCCGGUGAAAUUUCAAGAUAUCGGCGUUCUUAGCCGGCAACGGUUUUUGACGCCGGUAGAAUUUAAUUGAACCAUACCGUUUAGAGGAAGGAGAAGUCGUAACAAGGUU
rnacentral:rRNA from 1 species